rnacentral:rRNA from 1 species
UACGAAGGGGGCUAGCGUGGUUCGGAAUCACUGGGCGUAAAGGGCGCGUAGGCGGCUUUAUAAGUCGGGGGUGAAAGCCUGUGGCUCAACCACAGAAUUGCCUUCGAUACUGUAGAGCUUGAGACCGGAAGAGGUAAGUGGAACUGCGAGUGUAGAGGUGAAAUUCGUAGAUAUUCGCAAGAACACCAGUGGCGAAGGCGGCUUACUGGUCCGGUUCUGACGCUGAGGCGCGAAAGCGUGGGGAGCAAACAGG